rnacentral:rRNA from 1 species
AUACGUAGGGUGCAAGCGUUAAUCGGAAUUACUGGGCGUAAAGCGUGCGCAGGCGGUGUUGUAAGACAGAGGUGAAAUCCCUGGGCUUAACCUGGGAACUGCCAUUGUGACUGAAAGGCUGGAGUGCAGCAGAGGGGGAUGGAAUUCCACGUGUAGCAGUGAAAUGCGUAGAUAUGUGGAUGAACACCGAUGGCGAAGGCAAUCCCCUGGUCCUACUCUGGCGCAGAUGCACGAACGCGUGUGGAGCAAAGAGUAAUAGAUCCCCGGGUAGUCCACGCCCUAAGCGAUGUCAACUGGUUGUUGGGGAUUUAUUUUCUCAGUAACGAAGCUAACGCAUGAAGUUGACCGCCUGGGGAGUACGGCCGCAAGGUUAAAACUCAAAGGAAUUGACGGGG